GAGUAUUGUUUCUAUUCUUUUAACUAAGCAUGAUCAAAUGGAUUGGUGGAAAUGCUUGGUAAAGGGUGAUCCUGAAAUUAACACCCAAAAAGUUGAACCUGAGACCAGCAAACUAGGUGAUCUUGAUCCCGAGACUCGAUCGACGGUUGAAAAAAUGAUGGUAAUUAGUUGAUUUUUGUCACUUUCAGUAUUUAUACAAUUUGCAUUUGUUUUUUAAAUCAUUUUUAUUUUUAUUUCAUCAGACUGUCGAAAGUAUGUAUCCAUUAUUUUGUUUGGUUUACUUCGUAAUAAAAUGAUUGAUGAAAAUAACAUGACAGUCAAAGUGAGUUAUUUUAGAUUUAAGAAUUUUUAUAUGUUUGUUUGUUUAAUGUUAUGCUGUGUUGUUCAACAGUUUGAUCAGAGGCAAAAGUCCAUGGGCCUUCCUACAAGUGAAGAGCUUCAGAAACAGGAGAUGAUGAAGAAAUUUAUGAGUCAGGUGAAUAUUUGACUUUUGUGCUGUUAUUUUCUUCUUUCUCAGUACUGUGCACUCUUUGCUGAUCUCUUGUAUACAGCAUAUGCUAACAUGUUAUAUUUUAUGCAUUCCAGCAUCCUGAAAUGGACUUCUCCAGGACAAAGUUAUCUUAAAAGAUUGGAGCUCUGAUCAUACCGUGGUUUCUGAAAAUAUUACUUUUUUUGGGAUAAUAUCUUAGCUUACAUAUGUUUUGACUGGUUCUAGUUCCACCAAUUGGAUUUUUAUUCACAAAUGUUUGUUUGGUGAAAUUACAUUGCCUUAUCUUUUGAACAUACAUUAGAGUUUUAUAUCGCUGAUUAAGCAAUAGCUAGAAAAAGUUAAUUUUCUCUAUUGAUUCAUAUCUUGUUUAUAUAUUCUUCCUACGUAAUGCUAAAAUAGAUCAUUUUAACAAAAAUAAAAUAAUUUAUAGGGCAAUUUGCCAGCAAAAAAUAAAAAUUGUAGUGCAUGAUGGGCCUUAGGUAGGCAUGGCAAUGGGACGGAUCCCUUAUUUGGUGAAAUCCACUAUAGGCAUGAGAUAAAUAGCUUAACUGAUACAUAAAAAUAAAAUAAAUGUAAACAAUCGUAGCCUUGAGCUUGAGCAAGAUUGAUGACUGUCUAGGACCCCCUUAUUUAAAGAGACAACAAAUAUUUUUUAAUAAUGCAUAUAAUACAUAUAAAUAUUGGAUGAACAUAACAUUUAUUUAUUUAUUUUUGAUAAGAAAGAUAACAUUUAUUUUAAUAAUAUUAUAAAUAGUUAUAGGAUAUAUAGUAAUAGCAAUAUAGCCCGUAUAUUUACACAAAUAUCUUUUGUUUUUACGAAUUUAUGCAAAAAAGAGGAGAAGACAAGGAAAAAAGAAAAUAUGAAAAGAAAUAACAGAUCAAAGAAAUGAUUAUGUAUGUAGUAUUACAUAAAAAAUUAAGGAGAACCAAUUCUAAUAUAUUAAUGGUGUUGUAUAUAUAGUAUUUUAAUUGGUUGUGUGUGUUUUUGGUGAUAUAUUGAUAUGCAUAUAAUACACGAAGAUGAGAUAAUUGUUUAUAACUUAUUACUAUUAAAAUUUAAAUAUUUUAAUUUAAACUUCAUAGUUGGUAGUGUCAUGCGUGUAAUUUGUUGGUGGUAUUUUUUAUGAUUGUUAUGUAUGAGUUCAAGAGUCAUAUUAAACACAAGAAAAUAAUGGAAAAACCAAUUGUGUAUUUUGUCUAAAGAAAACAAAUUGUAUAUUAAUUUUUUUUUUGUAGAUCUUAUAAAUGGUAUUUUAAACUACUCCAUCCGUCCCAAUUUGAUUGACAUAGUUGACUGUUUCACGCAUGCCGAUGCAUAACUUUGACGUUUAAUAUUUUUAAUUGUAUAAUAGUAAAAGAAUUAAAAAUUUGAUAUUUUAAAAAUACACUUCGAGACGAAUAAAACAACAUCUUAAAUGCUAAUAUUUAUUUUUGUUUAUUAGUAGAAAAAUAAGGUCAAAGCAACAUGUGUGAAUAGUGCACAACAGUCAACUGUGUCAAUCAAAUUGGGACAGAGCGAGUACUUAAAAGGUUAUAAUAGAAAAAGGAGAAUGUUAACUUGUGCCCUUAAGGGCACAUGUUAAGGAGAUAAAUGUGGAAAAAAUUUAUUGAACUUGUGGUGCAUUCAAUUCUCUAGACAUUAAAUGUUUUCUAUCAUUAAAAGCUAUAUUUCUAUUUUUAGGUAGCUUAACAUGUGCCCUUAGGGUACAAGUUAACAUAACCCAUAGAAAAAAUAUAGAGUAAAUUAUACUCCCCUUCCUUGAAAGAAGCUUGAAUUACACUCCUCUUCCUUAUGUUAAAAUAUACACUUUAGUCCUUUUUAGCAAAAAUAAAUAUUUUUGUAAUAACACAUAAAUUUAAAUCCCUAUUUUAUGUCCAAAAAAAAUUUGAGUCACCAUUUAAGAAAUUAUUUUUAAUCUUCAGAAAACUAUUAUUACUGAUUAUAUGAUUUUAGUAUCUAAAUUCAAUUUAAAAUAUUUUUAAAAUUGGCUUUAGUAAUUUAUCCAAAUNNNNNNNNNNNNNNNNNNNNNNNNNNNNNNNNNNNAAUGAAGUGUUUAUUAAAGGACAAAAAUGUGGGUUAAAUAUAAGGGGGAUAAGAAUGAAAUUCAAGCUUCUAUCAAGGGAGGAGAGUGUAAUUUUUUCAAAAUAUUUUGUAUAAGAGGGGACGAGAGUGUAUAUUUUAACAUAAGAUGAAAGGAUAGUUUAAUUUAAGCAUCUAUUAAGGGAGGAGAGUGUAGUUUACCGAUUAUAAAUGUAGUACCUUAACUAAAUUUUUAUGAGAAUCUAUUUACUUUUUUUACUAAAAAAAAUAGAUACUAUUUAAAUUAACAUAUAUACUACUCNNNNNNNNNNNNNNNNNNNNNNNNNNNNNNNNNNNNNNNNNNNNNNNNNNNNNNNNNNNNNNNNNNNNNACACUAGAAAAAUUGUUUAAAAUUUAAAUAAAAUUAAUAAUCAGGAAUAAGUGGGUCCGCCCCUUAAAGGGCCGGCCCCUUAAGGCCCUUUUUACAGUAAGGGCUAACUCAUGGGCUGACCUAUUUUAUUCCCGUCGAAUAUGGCCAAAUUUGCAACUUCUAAACUUGACUCAGUUACAAUGAAUACCGCAAAAGUAAUUCCGCAGGUAAGAUCUAAAAUGUGAUUCCUCUGUCUUCAUUGCUUGAACAAGGAGACAGUAGUCGCUUUCGAAGAUAACAGAGGUGAAGCAACACUCAGCUUCGAGUCGCGUGGUGUUAUAGAGGGCUUGUGCUUCGGCGUGUAGAGGGUUCGGAUCUCCAACCAUUUCCCAAGUAGCUGCCGCGAGAAUCAGCCCCAUUUCAUCACGGAAAAUGGCUUUAAUAUAUCCUCGCUUUGGUUUUUUCCACUUUAUCUUCUUGUUAGGGUGUGCUCUGAUUUCCUCUCUUAGUUAAAGACAUAUAAAUGUAACUGAGUUUUAUUGUAUUCACUAGUGCUUUGGAAAGCUUUCUGAAUAAUGGUGUUAUCAGACAUAUAAAUGUUUUCAAAAGUGAAUUGGUUCCUUGCAUACCAAAUGCCAUAAGUUUGCAUACCAAAUGCCAUAAGUUAAAGCCCCAAUUUGGAUUAACCCAUCCUCUUUAACCUUAGGAAUAAUAUGAUAGAGCCAAUCUAUGAAGUGCAGACCCUUAGUUUUAGAGUAAAUGAUAGUUUAGUCUAGCUAUACAAAACCAAACUUUGGAUAAUCUUGGACAUUUCAUGAAAGUAUAGUCUAUAGUUUCCUCUUGUUGAAAGCAUCGAGGAUACAAAAAUAUUGCAAUUUACUUCUCGUUUAGCUAACUAACUCGUGAAAGGGAGAACAUUGUUGAGGAUGCGUCAUAAGAUAUACUGUAAUACUUAAACUAAAUUUUUAUGUACUUGACAAAAAAAAAACUAAAUUAUUAUUAGACUCUAUUUAAAUUUAUUUAUUUUUGAAUGAAAAAUAAUUAAAUUAAAGAACAUAUUUCUAGUAAAAAAAAAUUAAGAUAUUCUCAAUUAUUAAAAAAAGAAAUCUCUCUCCCUCUCUCUCUGUUUUUUAUUUCCAAGAUCUUACCUCUUUUUUUAUUGAAAGAAAGUUAUUAUCUUUUGAAGUUUUUUUUUCUUCAAAGAUUUUACCUCUUUUUUUUGGUCAAGAAUAUACAUAUUAUUUAUUUAUUUUUUUUGACGGAAAGAAUAUGCAUAUUAUUUAAUUAAUAAUUUUUUGAAGGAAUCUUUUCAAUAAGAUAUAGUGAUAUACACUUCAAAAAUGAGUUUAAUUGUUGUGUACUGUCGGUGUAAAUAUUUUUUACACAUACAUCCAAUGAUGUGUUGUCACAUCAUUUCAUGAAUGUGACACAUCUUGUGUUUUUAAGACCAUUUACAAUGGUGUUGAAUUUGGGUGUUGAAUGUGUGUUGAAUGAUUGGAGAGGUAUGUUGAAUAUGUGUGUUGAAUGAUGUGGAGGAGAGAGGUGUUGAAAGAAUUCAACAUAGUUGAAUGUUGAAAGGAGGGACAUGUGGCACAUUUUGAUUGGCUGUCUGGAUUUUUAUCACAUUAAUACUUUGAAUUCAAUUAUUUCAUUGCAAAUUCAUUUUUUUAUUUUUUAUUUUUUUACCAAAAUUCAUGAUUUUGUUUUGUCUAUAAAUAGAGACUUGAUUCAUUUGAUUUGGACACGGAAAAAAAAAACAAGUUUUUCACUAUCUUAAACUUAUUAUUAUCUUUCUAUUAGUGUUUAUUUUGAAGUUUAGUUUUUUUUAGUGAAAUAGAUCCCAAUAAUCAUUUCAACACCCAAAAUUCUUCUAAUUAUCCCAACAAUUAUUUAAAUAAGUUUUGUUUUUAUUACAAAAAACUAAAAAAUAAAUUGUUAAGUGUUUAUUAUUUUAAUUUAAUUUUAAUCGAUAAUUGUAAUUUUAUAUAAUUAUAAAAACAAAAAUAUAAAUUUAAAUAAGAAUAUGAAAUAAAAAAUGGUGGAGUAGAGAAAGUGGUGGGGUAGAGUGUUGAAUGAAAAAACUAUUGGAGAGGAUAAAAGUUGAAUGUGUGUUGAAUGAUUAGGUGGAAGAAAGAGAAAAUGAUGUGGAGUGUUGGGAGUUGAAAAAAUGGGUGUUGAAUGUUUAAACCAUUGUAAAUGGUCUAAUUACCAUACAUGAUGUGUCGAUAUAUUAUUAAACGCAUGUGUAUAAUAACUUUACACUGACAAUACAUAUAAAUUAAAUUCCUUCAAAAAUAUAUCUCUUAAUAAAAACUAGAACAUCGACCUGUGCGGUGCACGGGUCUGAUUAGUUGUAAGUUAUAUAAUGAUGAAAUAAGAUAUGAUAAUUCCAAUAAUGUAAGGUAUANNNNNNNNNNNNNNNNNNNNNNNNNNNNNNNNNNNNNNNNNNNNNNNNNNNNNNNNNNNNNNNNNNNNNNNNNNNNNNNNNNNNNNNNNNNNNNNNNNNNNNNNNUAAUCCUUUUCUAGAAGUAACUCUUGAAAUUGCAACAUACAACUGACCAUGUGAAAACACUGGCGACGGAAGAUAUAUCUCAACAUGCUUUAAAGAUUGUCCCUGACUCUUAUUAAUAGUCAUUGCAAAAGAAAUCAUUAUAGGAAAUUGUCUCCGUUGAAAUUUAAAAGGAAUUCUCACGUCAGAUGGUGUCAGAGAAAAUCUAUGUAUGAAAACCUGAUCACCAAUAUUACUCCCUGAAAUAAUUUUUCCUUCAAGAGCACAUUUUCCCAAUCUCAUAAUAAUAAGUCUUGUUUCAUUGCAUAAUCCUAAUUUUUGAUUCAAAUUCCUUAAUAGCAUAACUGGAGCUACAACUUUAAGUCUCAACUUGUGAUUUGGAAGUCCUGGCGUAGAAAUCGUGUUAAAAUUUCGGGAGUAUGAACAUCAUCCACUGUUUGACCGUCUACAUUUUGUGUGAGUGAAAUAUCAUAACUCAAAUAUGUUUUUUCUUCACCAUGAAUUAAAUCCAACAUAUAAUCAUUUAUUGUGUCGACUAUUGAAUUUUUAGGAGCUAGUAUAGCUCUAUUUUGGAAAUACCUUAUAUCGUUCAUGUAUUGUAAAAGUUGGGGAUAGGUGCUUUCAACGAUAGAAGCAAGAGGAUCACCUGAAUUUGGAAUCAAUAAAUCUGAUGGAAUGUCAAGUUCUAAAUCAUCGUCGUUGUCAUCUCCAAUUUCUCCAUCGCCAACACCCAAAACCCAUUCAAAAAAUAAUCUUCUUUGUUCAACGUCUGCACUCGAAGCACCACUGAGAAACCCCAUGUUUUUAAAACUUCACAAAAAUUUCAAAGUACCGAAGAAUUAAUAGUAGCAUAAACAACUUAUGGCCUUGUACCUUUGGGUAUUACUGGUAGAGUUUGUCUAAAAUCUCCGCCAAAAACAACAAUUUUUCCACCGAAGGGAACGUGUUUAUUUUUUUCAUCAACAGACUUGAGAAUAUAUUUUAAAGUUCGAUCAACAGCUUCGAAAUAAUGUUUGUGCAUCAUUGGUGCUUCAUCCCAUACAAUGAGCUUUGUUUUUUGUAUUAAUAGCGCCAAAGGGCUUUUAGGAACUAUGGUACAUGUUGAAAACUCGUCAACAUUUAGAGGAAUACAAAACCUUGAAUGUGUUGUUCUACCGCCAAGUAUAAGCAAUGCAGCGAUUCCACUUGAGGCAACUGUUAAAACUAUCUCACCUUUUGAGCGUAAUNNNNNNNNNNNNNNNNNUGAGUGUUUUUGAUUAAUGAUUGGAAUUGUGACUUGUUGAAAUUUAUACGAUGAUAAUUAGUUAUGUUAUGAUGUUGAUUAUUGAGAUGAGAAUGUCAAUUGAUUUUGUAUAUGGUUUUUUAUUGUAAUGCUGAAUCAUAGACAAUAGGCUAAUGAUUUGGAUCAUCCAUUAAGAUUUGAUGAAUUCACACACAUUAAUUUAAUUUGUUUAGCUUGCCUCUAGACAAUGUGACAUGAAUACACACAUUCGAACAAUUUUUCGUUGAAGUGUGAGUCUCGAUCAUCGUAUAUAACUAAUAAUAUUCAUCGUAUAUAACUAAUAAUAUAAUUGCAUCACUCAGCUUAUACCACGGCGGUUGAUUGGUAUUAGAAAAACUGCCUAACCUCACUUAAUUGUAAUAGUUAGGAAGACUUUUGAUGCAGUGAUCCAUACACUCUUCCAUCGAUUUUAACCAUUGAUUUGAUACUGUUAUUUGAGGGAAUUUGGAGAGAACGGAAGCAGUAACUGUUUAAAUACUAGGAACCCCGAGAGACUUUGACGCUAGUUUUCUAUCUUUUGUUUCUCCUCUCUAAUUUGAUGGUGUGUGAGGAAUCGAUUCUAUGUUUUAUACUGCGAAAUUAUCCAAAGUAUGGAGUAAUAAUUUUAUUGUAUUUGUUAUUGCCAUUUGAUAUGAUUUAACAUUUUAACUCUUUGUUAGCUAAUGGAAUAAUAACAAUUAACAUUGAAGCGGUAAUGAACUCUAUAUCUAAAGGUUUUUUCUUUACACUUUUGCUCUUUUUAAUCAACAGCUCCAAAUAAGGGUAAUGGUAUGGAUCUGGAGAAGUAUUCUUGGACUCAAUCUCUCCAAGAGCUCAAUGUGAAUGUUCCAGUGCCACAUGGAACAAAAUCAAGAUUUCUCACCUGUGAGAUAAAGAAGAACCAUCUGACAGUCGGACUCAAAGGCCAGCCACCGAUUAUUGAUGUAAGCUUGUACUAAGUUAUACUAACAGUGCCACAUUCGUUUGUUUUACCAAUUACCCUUAUUUGGACCUAAGUUACACCGAUUAUUGUCUGUUCCUUCUGUUCUUCAAUCUGAAGUUUUUAGCUGUUUUGAUGUUUUUAUGACGUUUGUGCUGAUGACUGUGAUUAUUAAAUUUCCCAGGGUGAGCUAUAUAAAUCUAUCAAGCCUGAUGAUUGUUUUUGGAGCAUAGGUAUGAGACUACUAAAUUGCAUCUGCAUAAGGUUUUCUUGUUGACGUUUUGUUAAUUAUUUUGCAACCAAUUUUUGCAGAGGAUCAGAGUAUUGUUUCCAUUCUUUUGACCAAGCAUGAUCAAAUGGAUUGGUGGAAAUGCUUGGUAAAGGGUGAUCCUGAAAUUAACACCCAAAAAGUUGAACCUGAGAACAGCAAAUUAGGUGAUCUUGAUCCUGAGACUCGAUCGACUGUUGAAAAAAUGAUGGUAAUUAGUUGAUUUUUGUCACUUCCGGUAUUUAUACAACUUGCAUUUGUUUUUGAAAUCAUUUUUAUUUUUAUUUCAUCAAACUGUUGAAAGUAUCAUUAUUUUGUUUGGUUUACUCCGUAAAAAAU
rnacentral:lncRNA from 1 species